rnacentral:other from 1 species
ACGCUUAAAUAUCAAAAAGAUGAAAAGGCAACAUGGAAAUCCCCUGAGUGAAACAACGAAUUGCUGUGUGUAGUCUUUGCCCGUCUCCUACGAUGGGCUUUUUUUUUA